UACGAAGGGGGCUAGCGUUGCUCGGAAUCACUGGGCGUAAAGCGCACGUAGGCGGCUUUCUAAGUCAGGGGUGAAAUCCUAGAGCUCAACUCCAGAACUGCCUUUGAUACUGGAGAGCUAGAGUCCGGAAGAGGUGAGUGGAACUGCGAGUGUAGAGGUGAAAUUCGUAGAUAUUCGCAAGAACACCAGUGGCGAAGGCGGCUCACUGGCCCGGUACUGACGCUGAGGCACGAAAGCGUGGGGAGCAAACAGG
rnacentral:rRNA from 1 species